GCAAGAAGAAGUUGUACGUUUCUAACUACUAACGUUAGGUAGUAGUAGAAGCUCUCCUUUAUUAGUAGUGGAAUUUUGGACAAAUGGAGGACCGCAGCUAUUAUUUAGCACAAGAGCCGACGGAGGGUGAAUCUGCUUCGAAGAAGCGAAAGCAUGAUGAAGUCAGACUUAUACGGGAGCGACGCAGGCAGAAAUCACAGGUAAACAUCGGUGUGGCUUUUCCCAGAUGGAAGGGUCUAAUGAGGGAAAAAUGUUUUCAAAGCGACACCGAAGUUGCCUGUUUUCUGAUGGACAGCUACGAGACAGGUCCUGCAACAUCGACUCCCUUGAAGAGAAAACCUUUGCAAGUCCCAGCUCCAGCAUUGUCUAGCAUUGGUGCUUCUAGUGGAACAGACCGAGAUGAGCAUCUUGAUGUCAUUCCCGAAGCCACAGAAAUUCAGGGCCUCGAACAAAGGUAACAUGUACACAUCAUAACUUUUAGCCCUGUAUUGCUUUUCUCCAAAUGUUCAUAAUAUCUAUUUGUAAUAUGUUUUUUGCAGCUUACAUGACAUGAGCAUUGUUGAGGAGGACUUGGAGGAAAAUGUUUUCAAUGACCCAAUGAACAGUAGUAUUUCCUAAUUACAUGUAUUAUUUUUCCUUGAUAUUAUUUGAGAACUUGUUUUUAUCUGAAAGUUGUCAUUAUGUAAAGAAUUGAUUGGGCAGAUGAAGCUUCAUCUUACUCCCUUGAAAGAGAUGAUGGACAGAAUGGUUUCAGCUCUGAUGAAGAGGAUCUUCCACCGAUUUCUAUAUGAAUGGGUGGAGCACUGAAGAAAGCACACUCUAUCGAUGGACUUCCUUGCCUGCACAUGAAGACACUCCUGAUGAGCCUUCUCCCUGUGAUCAUGACCCUGUUUUCCCAGAACCACACAAUGUCCUUUGUGAAGAUGACGUACGGACAAGCUUACAUCAGAAAUAAAGCUAGUGGAGAUCUGCACAGAUGCUCAUGCCCAGAUUGGUGCACUUAUGAACCCAGACAAAGGCAAAUACAAGGCCCUUGGAAUUCAUCACUGUCUGGACAUAUGGCAUGGUGCGAAGAACCAUAGUCAACCAUUUUCUUGCAUUAUGGGUUGGCAUCCUUCACCAUGUCUCAACAUUCACACAUGGACUAUGGGAAGUUGCAAACACGGGCACCUUGAAUCAGAUCAAAUGCGGGGAAAGAUGUGGAUCCAGAGACUCCCAGUGCCACAAAGCUUUAGUGGAUAUAGUUCUCGAUAAGAGGUGGCAGAAAGAUGUUCACAACUAUCUGGGAUUCAGAUCGACUGCAGACCUAGAGUCAUUCCAGAAUCAUAUCCUGAUGUAUGCCAGCAAGCGCUUUGCUUUCAGCCCCCCAGUUUAUGAGGCAAGAGUUCUGCUUGCUGCUUUGUACUACAAUUUCCAUCUGAACCGACCAACAAUGAAAACGUUGGACGGCAAAGAGACUUUCAGAAGAUUGUAUAAGAAGAAUGGUAUGCCUUGAAAUCUGAAAAACCUACGGAUACAUUUCUGAGUUGCAAAGAAGGAUUGUGAAGUACAGACUCACAAGUGGAGUGGGGAUGCCUAGAAGGAGGAGCCUUCUCCCAGGUGACCCCAGACAGCUUGGUUUGGUGCCCCCCGUACCUGCACCAGCCACAUCAGACUUGUUGCAGAGACAAGUCAGAAGAGGUCUAGGACCGUUAUUCCAACCAGUAUCUGAUGUGGAAGGAUCCCCACAGGAGAUUCCUACCCUCCUACAGUGGUUAUUUCAUGUUUUUCCAAUUUGUACACGUUUCAUCUUAUUCUGCUAAGUCCACUGUGACCAGCGCAUAUUAUUUUCAGUAGGUAGCCUAAAUUACAGUUUACAAUUUGAACAGUAAUGAUAAGUAAGGCUACAGCUACAGUCCCCUAUUAUUAUGUAAAUAUAAAUAACUAAAAUAGGUAUUGGAAAUGUUAUGUAAGUUUGAAAUUCUAAACACAUGUUCAAAUGUAUAUAAUGAAAAUAAAAACAACAUGUGCUUCUA